rnacentral:misc_RNA from 1 species
UCCGGUUUGUCACCGGCAGUCACCUUAGAGUGCCCAUCCUAAAUGCUGGCAACUAAGGUUAAGGGUUGCGCUCGUUGCGGGACUUAACCCAACAUCUCACGACACGAGCUGACGACAACCAUGCACCACCUGUCUCCGCUGCCCCGAAGGGAAGGUGUAUCUCUACACCGGUCAACGGGAUGUCAAGACCUGGUAAGGUUCUUCGCGUUGCUUCGAAUUAAACCACAUGCUCCACUGCUUGUGCGGGUCCCCGUCAAUUCCUUUGAGUUUCGGUCUUGCGACCGUACUCCCCAGGCGGAGUGUUUCACGCGUUAGCUGGGCCCCUGAUCCACGUAGACCAAGGGCGAACACUCAUCGUUUACGGCAUGGACUAC